GUCUCCAGCCAUACCACCCUGAAUGUGCCCGAUCUAGUCUGAUCUGGGAAGCUAAGCAGGGUCGGGCCUGGUUAGUACUUGGAUGGGAGACCAACUGGGAAUACUGGGUGCUGUAGGUU
ensembl:rRNA 5S_rRNA 5S ribosomal RNA